rnacentral:rRNA from 1 species
UACAGAGGGGGCAAGCGUUGUUCGGAAUUACUGGGCGUAAAGGGCGCGUAGGCGGCCCACUAAGUCGAACGUGAAAUCCCUGGGCUCAACCCAGGAACUGCGUCCGAUACUGGCAGGCUUGAAUCCGGGAGAGGGAUGCGGAAUUCCAGGUGUAGCGGUGAAAUGCGUAGAUAUCUGGAGGAACACCGGUGGCGAAGGCGGCAUCCUGGACCGGUAUUGACGCUGAGGCGCGAAAGCCAGGGGAGCAAACGGG